CAGACCAUACAACACAGAUGAAAAUACAGCCCAGUUAAUCGAAAGCAACAUAAAAGGCUACUCCAAUGCUCAUCACGUUGCAUAUUUCCUUAUUGCUAGUAUAGUCGUUUAUUUUGUCGUUGCUGUCGCAGUGUUAUUUAAAGUCAGCGACUU